UCCGGCGAAUUCGGUUUGACGGAGCAGAAGCAAAUGCUUCAGGUUUUGUGGAGGAGCCCGCAGAACCAGCGAAAGGCGGUCUACAUCUCGGUGGAGGAAGGACCGAGUGGAGAUGGUGAGGCACAUGCAGGCCACGUACGACACGAACACGUUUUAUUCUAGAGCGAAUCGGGUGUUGGAGAUUGACACGCCGGAAGAAGUUGAUAGAUUUUUGGGACCGUGAGGUGGAUACGGGGAUUAGGAACUUGUAUCGAGGCCGAACGGGACCGAGCGGGUUGAGAUCGUGGAGACACCAAGGACAUUUCCGCCAUCCGGUUGUUCCCUGGCCCAUCUUCUGCAGUACUGUAGCAUGGACACCCGGAUCAAGAUCGAAGAGUUUUACUACGAGCGGCGUUGCUUGCGAACCUGCUAGGGCCACCAGCAGGCCGGGCGGGGAUAAGUUCGUGUCGGGUACAUUUGCUACCUCAAGCUGUGGGACAACGAAACGGGCGACGUCGUGUCACACGUUAGCUCACGGAAGAUACCGUUUUUCAGCCCGGAUCACAGCAAGCAACACCUGCUAGUGGUGGGAACGUCCGACGUCCGAUAAGAUCAUCUGCUGGGACACCCGUCCAGGAGUACGAACGCCAUCUGGGCACGAUAAACUUAGGCGAUUAAAACCAGCGCUUCGUGACGACCUUCGACGACAAAAGCUAGUGCGUCUUGGAGUGGAAAACUCCAGUGAACAUGACGGUGUACAUCGCCGAUCCAAGGAUGCAAUCGAUCCCCGCAGUCACCCUUUCCCCUAACGGCAAGUGACUCGCCUGCCAGAGCAUGCACAACAAGGUAGUGAUCUUCAGCGCAAUUAACUUACACCGGCUACAUGGAUUCCAGUCGUGCGUGUAAUUUGGACAUUUUCUUCGACAGGAGAAACCUUGUACCAGCGAUGGCGACGGCUGAGUCUACAUCUGUUUCACGGCCUUUACGAGCAGCUGAGUGUCACACUAACAGUAUCGCCACGCGCUGAUUCUCGAGUUUCUCCUGCUCCUCGCGAAUACGAAUGGUCUCGCAGGUGCAUUCAAUGGAGGUCCGCUGUUGAAUCUGGACCACCGCGGGGACAGCACCAACAGUUUGCCGGCACCGGUGCCUAUGCUGACGGAGUUCUACAAGGAAGAGCAACUCCAAGCUGAGCAUUCCCGUCUGGCCUCAUCGGAGGGACUUUUCCAUGCAGUAAAGUGACCGGUUACGAUUGGUUCAACCUGAUGCGCAAAAAGACACAAUUACGAUGGCCUGCAAAGUGCUGCUUCUGUUCCGUCUGCGUCAUAUCAACAACCACCAUCCUCAAGCUGAACAUGGCCACCAAGAAAAUGAUGCGCAUCGCCGGUCCGUACUUCACUUACAGCUACUUUUCGCUCAUUUCGAUCCGCAACCUGAUCUACAAGCGUGGAUUCGUCAAGCACCGACAUUGCUGCAUCACAAUCACGGACAGGAUCGAGCGCAAAACACCGUCAACCAGCUGGGCAGCAUUCAGAGAGAGAGAUCAACGGUUCAACUGCAGCAUUCAGCAAGGGCGGCAACUUCAAGUUGGACGUUCCCAAGCACUGCAGGGCACUGGUCCCGCGCAAGAAAAUGCCCCACCCCGCGGCAUGUACAGUUUGUGUGGAAAAGUUUUCUGGUUACCGUAGAACAUCAACUUCCGUUUACGAUUCCGCCCGAUCCCGUCGCUUCUGAUCAACCACGGUCCCGAUCUUGCCUGUUUUCUUAUCGAAUUAAAUUGAUGUUAAAUUGAAUGAAUUUAUUGAAAAGAUUUUUUUUAA